GUCCUAGCCGUAAACGGUGCAUAUUUGCUGUAAAAGGAAUCGACCCCUUUUGUGGCGAAGCAAACGCGUUAAAUAUGCCGCCUGGGAAGUACGGUCGCAAGAUUAAAACUCAAAGAAAUUGACGGGGGCCUGCACAAGCGGUGGAGUAUGUGGCUUAAUUCGAUGCAACGCGAAGAACCUUACCUGGCCUUGACAUGCACAUAGUAGAAGCCUGAAAGGGUGACGAGGUAGCAAUACCAGUGUGCACAGGUGCUGCAUGGCUGUCGU
rnacentral:rRNA from 1 species